rnacentral:rRNA from 1 species
AGCGAACGCUGGCGGCAGGCUUAACACAUGCAAGUCGAGCGGGCACUUUCGGGUGUCAGCGGCGGACGGGUGAGUAACGCGUGGGAACGUGCCCUCUGGUUCGGAAUAACUCAGGGAAACUUGAGCUAAUACCGGAUACGCCCUUUUGGGGAAAGGCUUGCUGCCGGAGGAUCGGCCCGCGUCUGAUUAGCUAGUUGGUGAGGUAACGGCUCACCAAGGCGACGAUCAGUAGCUGGUCUGAGAGGAUGAUCAGCCACACUGGGACUGAGACACGGCCCAGACUCCUACGAGAGGCAGCAGUGGGGAAUAUUGGACAAUGGGCGCAAGCCUGAUCCAGCCAUGCCGCGUGAGUGAUGAAGGCCUUAGGGUUGUAAAGCUCUUUUAUCCGGGACGAUAAUGACGGUACCGGAGGAAUAAGCCCCGGCUAACUUCGUG